AGAAGGCUCCGGCUGCUGCUGGGUGGAGAAGCCACACAAGUCCCUGGGCUGGAAAUUGCUGAAUCUACUUUGACUCGGUUCCACUCAAUGAAAGUAGCAGCGCCGUCUUCAAGGAGGGGAUACGGCUGCCCGACUGGAAUUUAACGGAAGGGCUCAGUGCCACUGGAGUUGUUGGCCCAGUCACUGCAGAUGCCUGAUGAGAUAACGAUGGCUCCAGGCUAGGACAGCAGGAGGGACACCAAGGGAAGUCUUCGAUUCUACCCUGUGAGAUGAACCCCUGGAAUCUCAGCUCCCACCCCAGAUCUGCCACUCCCAUGGGGCUUCCAUCCACAGAAGCCAGAGACGCCUCAGAUAUGCCAUUCCCACAGGGUUAGCAUCCACAGAAGCCAGACAUCCCAGAUCUGCCACUCCCAUGGGGCCACAAUCCACAGAAACCAGACACAUCCCAGAUCUGCCACUCCCACGGGGCCACCAUCCACAGAAGCCAGAGAUGCCCCAGAUCUGCCACUGCCAUGGGGCCUCCAUCCACAGAAGCCAGAGAUGCCCAGAUCUGCCACUGCCAUGGGGCCUCCAUCCACAGAAGCCAGAGAUGCCCAGAUCUGCCACUGCCAUGGGGCCUCUAUCCACAGGGGACACACUCCAGCUCCCAAGAAGCCUGGUCGGCCCUGGCGUGGCUUCUGUGUGGCUGGAGCUGCUUCUAGCACUUCAGAUGCCAUUGACUGGUAGAGCAACUGCUCACGUGAUUGGACCUGACCCAUUCUGUCAAGAUGUGUGAGUCUGUCCUUCCCCGCCUAGGGCACCUGGCCCAUCUCUGUCUAGAGUGACCUCAUAGUCAUACCAUUGCUUAGCAGAUCAAGAAACUAUGGUCUCAACUUU